rnacentral:lncRNA from 1 species
CUAGUUUAUUCACAUUUCCUGAGUUUUUUCCUAAUGUCCUUUUGCGGUCCUAGAAUCUCAUCCAGGACACGGGAUUCCACGGAGUUGUCACGUCUGUCAAGCUCCGCCUGUGCCAGUUUCUCCGACAUUCCUUGUUUUUGAUGUGGCAAGGUCUCCAUAGACCCAUAGUCCAUUGCACAGACUGGUCUCCAUCUCCUGGGCCCAAGCAAUCCUCCCACCUUGGCCUCCAAAAGGGAUAGAUUACAGGUGUGAGCCACUGCACCUGGCUGCACUCUUCCAAGUUUUAUCAGUCAUGAAAUCACAGCCAAUGGGAACAAGAGCAUGAAUGCAGGAGGAGGUAGGAGAAUCACAUUUUCCUGUGUUCAGUCAACAAACAUUGCUGACAACACGCCUGACAUUCUGCAAGGACAAGUCAUCUGGACAAUGAUGAGCAUGGAUGGCCCCUCUGCGGUGUCACUCACAACCCUUAACAAAUCUAUUUCAUACAUGGCAGAUGAUGGGAGCCCUGAAGGUACAGCUCCAAAAUUGUUGCUUCCAUGAAGGUUCAAAUGAACCAGGGACUAACUCUGGGUUCUUGACACUUGGAUUUAGACAUAAACUUUUGCCUGUAUGUUUUCAGAGAUGAAGAGGACCAAGACACACAUUCAGAUGGGGGUGAGACAAUGCCCGUUGUCCCUUCAGUGCAUCAGUCACUUCCAGUGCUCUUCAGUGGAAACUCCUUGAAGCCGGCACUGUGCCAUUAAUGUAAUUCCUGAAAAGAGAGGAAAAUAGGCACACUGCCUUGGCAAAUAAGAUGGAGAAGGAAGUGAAUACAGUUAGCUGGGUAGUAGGGAUCUGCACACGAUUAUAUGGAAAAUAACUUUCUGGGCUGCAAGCUUCAAAAGCUCAGGACACAGCCCUGGAAGAGGUGCCAGGUUGCAAGAGGGAGGCAUGCACCGGACUUUGGACCCCAGAGUGCUGCCUUUCCUUUCUCCAGCCACGCCCACCCUGCCUGUUACAGCACCUGAGCAUGAGGACAGAAAGAAAGGACGGGGCAGAGGGGGUGGGGAGGGGUGUGUCUGUCCACUGGGCCGGGCAGUUUGGGUCUAGGGGAGGCUGUUCUAGGGCUCCUUUGAAAGCACAGGUAACAGAUGACAAGCAGCACACAAAAGCUAUUGACUAGUCCACACACUUAGAAAGGUGGAAAAGAGGAAAUGCAUAUUUUCAGUAGAAGACAAAACAAUGUCCCAGUGGCUGGUCAUCCUCAUGGAUCGUCACGGUAUGAGCACCUUGUACAGGGCAUCUGGUCUGCCGAGAGCUGUCAGAGCCAUUUUCUCAGCCACCUUUUUUUUUUCUUCCUUUUUUUGAGAUAGGGUCUUGCUCUGUUGCCCAUGCUGGAGUGCAGUGGCGCAAUCUCAGCUCACUGCAACCUCCACCUCCCGGGUUCAAGAGAUUCUCCCUGCCUCAGCCUCCUGAGUAGCUGGGAUUACAGGCGCCUGCCACCACGGCUGGCUAAUUUUUGUAUUUUUAGUAGAGACAGGCUUUCACCAUGUUGGCCAGGCUGGUCUCAAACUCCUGACCUCAGGUGAUCUGCCCGCCUUGGCCUCCCAAAGUGCUGGGAUUACAGGUGUGAGCCACCGUGCCUGGCCUCAACCAUCUUUAAGAAUAAGCGUUUAAAACUGGCCAGUUCCUUUUGGUGGAGUGACAAAACCUGUAGUCACAGAGACAUUUGGAGCAGACGAAGGCUUGCAUCUCGACCUCCAUGCCUAGUUUUCUACUUGCCACUGACGGCAAGGAAACGACGGCCAAAUCACAACCUCCUUAUGUUUGGGUACUUUGCAGUCACUGCUUAUAAUAGAGUUCAGUCUCUUAAGAAAGUGUGAAAUGAACAUUGUCUUGAGUUUCUGCGAACGUCUCUGGUCCACUGGUGAUCAAUUUGUCCAAGUUUGCCUGGCUUUAGCACCAAAAAUCUCACCUCUUGGGAACCCCAGUCCCAGGAAACCCUGGCAGUUGGUCACCUUGCCUCCCAGUCAUCUGCUCUGAGAAUCUUCAUUUUAACAACUUGACUCAUUAGUAAUCUGGAUUCCUUGUAAUCUGAAAGUAUUAAAUUAGUCGAGAGUGUGUUUCUUUCCCUGCUCUUGCGAAGGCAGUCUAAUGAGGAUAUGAGCUCUAGGCAUCAGCUCCCCUGGAAAAAGGCGUAACAUACCAAGGGUGACAUACUUUUCAGGAACCCUAGGUGAAACCUUGAAGGCUACUGCUAACAUGUAUGGAUGCAGUAACACCUUUUUCCAGAAUGCAGAAAAGCUAAGACUUGGGACCAGAGAAAUUAUGGUAGAAAAAUUGGAAAGCUCCUGACUUGUAGCUGAGUUGGGAAAUGCUUGCAGAGGAAUUCCUGGGAGAAACCGAAUGAUGUAAGGGUCCCCCAUACCUGGAAUUGAUGUUCAGAAAAGGAAGAAACUCCACCAGAUGGGGAGUGGGAAAGGUUGUAUGUUCCAGUUUUUAGCUGAGUCUUAUUUGGGAUUAUCACCAUUUCUGUGACUUUUGAACAGCUUUGACCUCCAGGACAGACCAAAUGGACCCCUCUGAUUUUCUCAGAAUUGUAGUAUUUAUUUAUGUCUAUAUCAUAUCUGCAGACAUGUAUUAUGCAGGUUUCCUCUGCUGUGUUUCCUCAGCUGCAGUUUCAUAAUUUAUUCUGCCAGGCUCAGCAUGUCCUUGACAUACCAAACCAUUAACUGAAAAUCAGAAAAGUUCUGUGAGGUCGCUAAAUUCUUUCUUCUGAUGAUCAGCCUGCACACUAGCUGAAAAUAAAGCCACUGGGCUGGCAGACAAAAAAUAAUUGGCCUAAAUGGUCACAGAAAAGUCUAAACAGAAGAUUUUCUUUCCCUCUUCACUUGCAAUGAUUUAUUUUCGCGGUUUUAUGAGACUUUAAUGAGGAAACCUUAUCUGUACGCCUGGUAAUUAUCAACCAAAUUUCCAUUUCCUGCCAGAAAAUCCACAAUAAGCAGAACAAAAACGGUGGAAUCGGGAGACUGUUUGGCCUCUGACCUGUAUGGCUGGGGAGUAACUCAUUGCCACACAGAGCAUGUGACUAGCAAGCAUGUCUGUGACUUCUCUUGUACACUUUUGCUUAAACUAAAUUGCCACAUUCAAUUUAGUAUAACUCAGUACACGUAGACUCAGACGCCAUGAAGCAUCCCGGACACUGUCCCAUGAGGUGGCAUUUGGGCAAGAGAAAGUACAACUUCCCUCUUCAUAAUUUAAUAUAAUUUCUAGUCUCAUCCAGUUCCUUCUGUUGGGUGAAUGAGGUCAUACCUGACAUGAGGGUCUGACAAGAGGCCAUGAACUUUGCAUCUUGGAAAGUUGGGUUUUUCAACAUAGAUUGCAGCUCUUGCCUAUGAGUGAUGAUGCUACAAUUGGGGUCACUGAGGAAAGCUGCUGUGGGCACUGACUCCAGACUUAGCGGUGUGGAUGUCCCAGCAUCCUGAGAUUCAGGUGGAGAGCUUGUCGAUGCCAUGGCACCGGUCUCUGGGACCUCUAGAACAGAAGGUACAAGAGGGGAGCUCAAAUGAGCACGCCAGACAGAUGGAGGCUGUGGGAGUUGAGAGUCUUUGUAGAAUUGCAGGGUACUGCAGCACCCACAGCAGCCAGGAAGUCAGAACGCGUCUGAAUCUUCUGUUCUAGUUUAGUUAACAAGGUGAGAAUCCUUUUUUUUUUUUACACUUUUCUCUAGGUGUAAAAUUUGUCAUGCUCUGAAAUAACCUACAAAUUUAUCUCUGCCUGUUCUGUCAUUGAAAGAACUUUGCUCAUGCUUUAAUUGUGUCUUUAUUGGCAUUUGGGGGCCAGUGAUGAAAAAAAACCUGAAUAAUAAUGUAAUGACUUAUUUUAAAUUAAAGAAAUACUUCCCAAAAAUAUUUCUCAAGUCACCGCAGGUAACACUGGGUAGGUUUGUACCAGGUGCAAGUUCUACUCCAGGAGAAAAUGAAAUGGCCCAAAUUUGCU